rnacentral:rRNA from 1 species
GGUUAAGCGACUAAGCGUACACGGUGGAUGCCCUGGCAGUCAGAGGCGAUGAAGGACGUGCUAAUCUGCGAUAAGCGUCGGUAAGGUGAUAUGAACCGUUAUAACCGGCGAUUUCCGAAUGGGGAAACCCAGUGUGUUUCGACACACUAUCAUUAACUGAAUCCAUAGGUUAAUGAGGCGAACCGGGGGAACUGAAACAUCUAAGUACCCCGAGGAAAAGAAAUCAACCGAGAUUCCCCCAGUAGCGGCGAGCGAACGGGGAGCAGCCCAGAGCCUGAAUCAGUGUGUGUGUUAGUGGAAGCGUCUGGAAAGGCGCGCGUACAGGGUGACAGCCCCGUACACAAAAAUGCACAUAUUGUGAGCUCGAUGAGUAGGGCGGGACACGUGGUAUCCUGUCUGAAUAUGGGGGGACCAUCCUCCAAGGCUAAAUACUCCUGACUGACCGAUAGUGAACCAGUACCGUGAGGGAAAGGCGAAAAGAACCCCGGCGAGGGGAGUGAAAAAGAACCUGAAACCGUGUACGUACAAGCAGUGGGAGCCUCUUUUAUGGGGUGACUGCGUACCUUUUGUAUAAUGGGUCAGCGACUUAUAUUCUGUAGCAAGGUUAACCGAAUAGGGGAGCCGAAGGGAAACCGAGUCUUAACUGGGCGUUAAGUUGCAGGGUAUAGACCCGAAACCCGGUGAUCUAGCCAUGGGCAGGUUGAAGGUUGGGUAACACUAACUGGAGGACCGAACCGACUAAUGUUGAAAAAUUAGCGGAUGACUUGUGGCUGGGGGUGAAAGGCCAAUCAAACCGGGAGAUAGCUGGUUCUCCCCGAAAGCUAUUUAGGUAGCGCCUCGUGAAUUCAUCUCCGGGGGUAGAGCACUGUUUCGGCAAGGGGGUCAUCCCGACUUACCAACCCGAUGCAAACUGCGAAUACCGGAGAAUGUUAUCACGGGAGACACACGGCGGGUGCUAACGUCCGUCGUGAAGAGGGAAACAACCCAGACCGCCAGCUAAGGUCCCAAAGUCAUGGUUAAGUGGGAAACGAUGUGGGAAGGCCCAGACAGCCAGGAUGUUGGCUUAGAAGCAGCCAUCAUUUAAAGAAAGCGUAAUAGCUCACUGGUCGAGUCGGCCUGCGCGGAAGAUGUAACGGGGCUAAACCAUGCACCGAAGCUGCGGCAGCGACACUAUGUGUUGUUGGGUAGGGGAGCGUUCUGUAAGCCUGUGAAGGUGUGCUGUGAGGCAUGCUGGAGGUAUCAGAAGUGCGAAUGCUGACAUAAGUAACGAUAAAGCGGGUGAAAAGCCCGCUCGCCGGAAGACCAAGGGUUCCUGUCCAACGUUAAUCGGGGCAGGGUGAGUCGACCCCUAAGGCGAGGCCGAAAGGCGUAGUCGAUGGGAAACAGGUUAAUAUUCCUGUACUUGGUGUUACUGCGAAGGGGGGACGGAGAAGGCUAUGUUGGCCGGGCGACGGUUGUCCCGGUUUAAGCGUGUAGGCUGGUUUUCCAGGCAAAUCCGGAAAAUCAAGGCUGAGGCGUGAUGACGAGGCACUACGGUGCUGAAGCAACAAAUGCCCUGCUUCCAGGAAAAGCCUCUAAGCAUCAGGUAACAUCAAAUCGUACCCCAAACCGACACAGGUGGUCAGGUAGAGAAUACCAAGGCGCUUGAGAGAACUCGGGUGAAGGAACUAGGCAAAAUGGUGCCGUAACUUCGGGAGAAGGCACGCUGAUAUGUAGGUGAAGUCCCUCGCGGAUGGAGCUGAAAUCAGUCGAAGAUACCAGCUGGCUGCAACUGUUUAUUAAAAACACAGCACUGUGCAAACACGAAAGUGGACGUAUACGGUGUGACGCCUGCCCGGUGCCGGAAGGUUAAUUGAUGGGGUCAGCGCAAGCGAAGCUCUUGAUCGAAGCCCCGGUAAACGGCGGCCGUAACUAUAACGGUCCUAAGGUAGCGAAAUUCCUUGUCGGGUAAGUUCCGACCUGCACGAAUGGCGUAAUGAUGGCCAGGCUGUCUCCACCCGAGACUCAGUGAAAUUGAACUCGCUGUGAAGAUGCAGUGUACCCGCGGCAAGACGGAAAGACCCCGUGAACCUUUACUAUAGCUUGACACUGAACAUUGAGCCUUGAUGUGUAGGAUAGGUGGGAGGCUUAGAAGUGUGGACGCCAGUCUGCAUGGAGCCGACCUUGAAAUACCACCCUUUAAUGUUUGAUGUUCUAACGUGGACCCGUGAUCCGGGUUGCGGACAGUGUCUGGUGGGUAGUUUGACUGGGGCGGUCUCCUCCUAAAGAGUAACGGAGGAGCACGAAGGUUGGCUAAUCCUGGUCGGACAUCAGGAGGAGGUAGUGCAAUGGCAUAAGCCAGCUUGACUGCGAGCGUGACGGCGCGAGCAGGUGCGAAAGCAGGUCAUAGUGAUCCGGUGGUUCUGAAUGGAAGGGCCAUCGCUCAACGGAUAAAAGGUACUCCGGGGAUAACAGGCUGAUACCGCCCAAGAGUUCAUAUCGACGGCGGUGUUUGGCACCUCGAUGUCGGCUCAUCACAUCCUGGGGCUGAAGUAGGUCCCAAGGGUAUGGCUGUUCGCCAUUUAAAGUGGUACGCGAGCUGGGUUUAGAACGUCGUGAGACAGUUCGGUCCCUAUCUGCCGUGGGCGCUGGAGAACUGAGGGGGGCUGCUCCUAGUACGAGAGGACCGGAGUGGACGCAUCACUGGUGUUCGGGUUGUCAUGCCAAUGGCACUGCCCGGUAGCUAAAUGCGGAAGAGAUAAGUGCUGAAAGCAUCUAAGCACGAAACUUGCCCCGAGAUGAGUUCUCCCUGACCCUUUAAGGGUCCUGAAGGAACGUUGAAGACGACGACGUUGAUAGGCCGGGUGUGUAAGCGCAGCGAUGCGUUGAGCUAACCGGUACUAAUGAACCGUGAGGCUUAACCUU